UACAGAGGAGCCAAGCGUUGUCCGGAUUGACUGGGCGUAAAGCGCACGCAGGCGGUUGCGCGCGUGGGGGGUGAAAUCUGGCCGCUUAACGGCCAGGCGCCAUCCCAUACGGCGCGACUGGAGUGAUGCAGAGGUCGAUGGAAUUGCCGGUGUAGUGGUGAAAUGCGUAGAUAUCGGGAGGAACACCAGUGGCGAAGGCGACUACCUGGCCUGUUCUUGACGCUGAGGCGCGAAAGCUAGGGGAGCAAACGGG
rnacentral:rRNA from 1 species